AAUAGUGGAAUUUGCGGUUUGCCUUCAAAAUAAAAGUAUGUCAUUGACAGUGAUGCAAAUGCAUACAAAUAGUAGAAUUGUUCCAUACUUUUAUUUUGAAGGCUAACCUUAGGCUAUCCUUAUUGUGGCUAGCUUCACAUGGAUGGGUCUGACCACCAUUAAAUAAGAACUGCCUUAAAAAUAGGGUUAUUUUAGAUUGCUACAUAGUCAGCUAGCUAACUAUAGCUACUGAAACAGAUUGUUGUUUUGAAUUUUUUGGGGGGAAGAACAUUGUUUGCAUCCCAUGAGCUAGCUAACUUUUUUUUAAUGACCAGCACCAAGUACGUGAGACAACUUACCAGCAUCAUAGCGAUGAAUCGUUGUGACACAUGAAAUACGAGUGAUAGUGUAAUAACUACUUAAUUUUGAUUUUGUUGUCAUUCAGAUCCUGGUUGGUCAACAAGCUUAUUUGACACGUCAAAUAGUGUUAUUUGACGUGCAUCUUUUUUUGGCACGCAAAGACUCAAACGGCGUUCCAUAGAAAUAAAUCCUGGUUGAGAAUGAAACGACUGAAGAAAUGAUCAACAAAACAGCACAGCAAGCAAGUCCGUUAAGAACAAAUUCUUAUUUACAAUGACGGCCAAACCCGGACGACGCUGGUCCAAUUGUGCACCGCCCUAUGACGGCCGGCUGGAUUCGAACCAGGGACUGUAGUGACGCCUCUUGCACUGCCUCGCAGUGCCUUAGACAGCUGCGUCCAUGUGUGUGUUAACUAUUUAACUGUACUAGAAUGCUUAAAAGGCUGAAAAAAGGUAUAUCGGUAUAGUUUUUUUUGGGUCAAGGAAAAUAUCAGAUAUCGAUAUACUUACAAGACCAUUAGACUUGAUUGAGCUGUUUUGUCUUGUAGUAAUGUGGUGCAUUAUAUAAUAACAUCCUUUUUUGGUCAGUAUGGUGCCCAACAUAACAACAGGUGGUGGUGUGUUGGACACAGUAGCUCAGAUAGAUAGAGCCUGUCUGCAUUCCUGAUUUCUGUAACUGUUAGCUUACCUGUUUUAUAUUGACAUGAGCUCAGAACCACGGUCCUGUUUAAUCAAUUGCUUUGCUGAUCAAUGGACAGUUCAUUACUUCUGUAAAAAUAAUAUGUAGCUUAGUUGUUUGUACUUUGUAUUUAUUUUUGUAAUAAAGAUAGUGAUGCAACAAUAA